CUUUCAACAACGGAUCUCUUGGUUCCAGCAUCGAUGAANAACGCAGCGAAAUGCGAUAAGUAAUGUGAAUUGCAAAAUUCAGUGAAUCAUCGAAUCUUUGAACGCACAUUGCGCCCCCUGGUAUUCCGGGGGG
rnacentral:rRNA from 1 species